GAAUGUUGACCUCGAAUCAGGUAGGAAUACCCGCUGAACUUAAGCAUAUCAAUAGUCCGGAAGAA
rnacentral:rRNA from 1 species